rnacentral:lncRNA from 1 species
UUCACCGGCGCGUACAGAGGAUACAACACCAAACCCAGAGUGUGCUGCUGCUGCUGUUGGUCGAGUACGAAUCUCUGUGUGUGUGUAUAUAUAUACAGUUUAAAUAUAUGUAACAUAUAUGUACCUGGGAUGGAUAUGUGAAGAAGGAAGAUAAAUAAGUGGUGUGUGAAAUUCAACAUUUAUCAAGAUAAUUUGAUCCAAUUUGUAAUAGUGCAAAAAAAAAAGAAGAUAUAUAUAUAUUAAGUUAUUUAUAUUCGACGCAACACAAUGUGUUAUAUCAAGUUUUACAUAUCUACAAACGAAUAGGACAGAAGAAUCCCCUUUGAUCUGAUUAUUUAUCGAUUGAAAUCUCAAUUAUAUGAUAAUAAUAACAAUAAUAAUAAUAAUGAGAAGAAUUUGUUGGAAUCAAAAAGAAACAUCUUUUAACAACAACAACAACAACACAACAGCAACAUUAAUACUUUAAAUACAGCUGCAUAAUAUAUUUUGCAAGAAAA